UACGAUCCUAGUAAAAAGCUUUAGUUGUGACCAAGUCUAUGACCUGCGUACACGCUAAAUUAUUGUGGAUUUUAUUAAGUAAAAAAGUUUAAAGAUGCCUACAUGCGCGGUGAAAUGAUGCGAGAAACAAUCCAGGACAUCUAGUUACAAAAAAGGAUGGCAUUACUUUUCAUCGAUUUCCGAAGAUUCCAGAAAUAAAAGAGAAGUGGAUGGACACUAUCAAUAGGGAAAAUUGGUUUCCAACAAAGUGCAGCGUUGUUUGCUCAAGGCACUUCACCCCCGACUGUUUAGAAUAUUUAAAACAAUUUUGACGUUUAUUUAGUUCAGCGAUUCUAACAAUGUACCUAUACUAAAUUAAUACAUUUUAAGAAUCAAUAAUUUUCUUGUACGGAGUUCUUUUUUGUAAUAGACUGAUUUUUAUUAAAUAUUCUUCUAAGAUU